UGAGCUUGAUCCUGGCUCAGGAUGAACGCUAGCGGCAGGCUUAACACAUGCAAGUCGAGGGGUAUUAGUUUUCGGACUAAGAGACCGGCGCACGGGUGCGUAACGCGUAUGCAAUCUACCUUUUACAGAGGGAUAGCCCAGAGAAAUUUGGAUUAAUACCUCAUAGUAUAAUGACUCGGCAUCGAGAUAUUAUUAAAGUCACAACGGUAAAAGAUGAGCAUGCGUCCCAUUAGCUAGUUGGUAAGGUAACGGCUUACCAAGGCUACGAUGGGUAGGGGUCCUGAGAGGGAGAUCCCCCACACUGGUACUGAGACACGGACCAGACUCCUACGGGAGGCAGCAGUGAGGAAUAUUGGACAAUGGGCGCAAGCCUGAUCCAGCCAUGCCGCGUGCAGGAUGACGGUCCUAUGGAUUGUAAACUGCUUUUAUACGAGAAGAAACACUGCUUCGUGAAGCAGCUGACGG
rnacentral:rRNA from 1 species